rnacentral:tRNA from 1 species
CUGGGUGUAGCACAGUUGGUAGUGCUCUUGAUUUGGGUUCAAGAUGUCGGGGGUUCGAAUCCUCUCACUCAGG